rnacentral:rRNA from 1 species
GACUCUCGGCAACGGAUAUCUCGGCUCUCGCAUCGAUGAAGAACGUAGCGAAAUGCGAUACUUGGUGUGAAUUGCAGAAUCCCGUGAACCAUCGAGUCUGACGCAGUUGCGCCGAGGCCUCCUGGUCGAGGGCACGUCUGCCUGGGUGUCA